UACGUAGGGGGCAAGCGUUGUCCGGAUUUAUUGGGCGUAAAGAGCGUGUAGGCGGCCAGACAGGUCAGCUGUGAAAACUCGAGGCUCAACCUCGAGACGUCGGUUGAAACCGUCUGGCUAGAGUCCGGGAAGAGGAGAGUGGAAUUCCCGGUGUAGCGGUGAAAUGCGCAGAUAUCGGGAAGAACACCCGUGGCGAAGGCGGCUCUCUGGGACGGUACUGACGCUGAGACGCGAAAGCGUGGGGAGCGAACAGG
rnacentral:rRNA from 1 species